rnacentral:misc_RNA from 1 species
AAGAAUUGCCCCGUUUUUUCGAAAAUGGGUUCUAUUCCAAACCGUGUAUACAUACCUUUGUUGCUUUGGCGGGCCGCCGUCUCGGCGUUGGCUUCGGCUGACUGUGCCCGCCAGAGAAUCACAACUCUUCUGUUUAGUGAUGUCUGAGUACUAUAUAAUAGUUA